rnacentral:rRNA from 1 species
GCAAGUCGAACGGGGUCAUCAGAGGAAGUUUUCGGAUGGAAUCGGAUGACUUAGUGGCGGACGGGUGAGUAACGCGUGGGAAACCUGCCCUGUACCGGGGGAUAACACUUAGAAAUAGGUGCUAAUACCGCAUAAGCGCACAGCUCCGCAUGGAGCGGUGUGAAAAACUCCGGUGGUACAGGAUGGUCCCGCGUCUGAUUAGCCAGUUGGCGGGGUAACGGCACACCAAAGCGACGAUCAGUAGCCGGCCUGAGAGGGUGAAC